UACGAAGGGGGCUAGCGUUGUUCGGAAUUACUGGGCGUAAAGCGCACGUAGGCGGAUUUGUAAGUCAGGGGUGAAAUCCCGGGGCUCAACCUCGGAACUGCCUUUGAUACUGCAAGUCUCGAGUCCGAUAGAGGUGAGUGGAAUUCCUAGUGUAGAGGUGAAAUUCGUAGAUAUUAGGAAGAACACCAGUGGCGAAGGCGGCUCACUGGAUCGGUACUGACGCUGAGGUGCGAAAGCGUGGGGAGCAACAGG
rnacentral:rRNA from 1 species